ACAUUUUCUACUGUUGUGAUUUUGCUAUAAUCUGUGACGUCACGCUUAAAACUGACAGAUGCAUGCAUGACAGGCCGGAAGCGAAACGUCAACGAAGCGCGCACGACGUCUUUCGCGAUUCAUCCCCGUGUAUCAACCAACCGCGAGAGUGAAGUACGUUGUGCAAGUACCCAACUUCUCGGAACAUUUUCAGUCAUUCGCGGCGCGACAUCGAGAGUUUAGUGAUCGUCGAGUGUGUGGAGCAAAUUGUACGGUCGAGCUAGCAAAAUGGCGUCAAUACUGCGAAAAUCCGGUCUGGUUUUGGCCGAUUUGGCUGCCAAAUCAUCGCCCAGGAUAUUGGGAAGUGCCGGCCAGCGGCGUAAUCUGAACGUACAGGAGCAUGUGUCAUACACAUUUUUAAACGAAGCGGGUAU